rnacentral:rRNA from 1 species
AUGUUACCUAAAAAACAUCUAUCUGGCUGUGAGAAAAGAAACAACAAGAAAAGAGUAGACAAGUUGAUUAAAUCUCAGGAAGGCGCUAUGGAUAUGUUUGUCUUGAGGCCUGGUGCUGCUACAAAUUCAGAGCAAUUAUAUAUCACAAAUGGUGAAGAAAAACCUGAUGAUACUAAGAAUGCCAUUGAGGAAAAUCAUGUCGAUAAAAAUAAUGCUGCGGAAAAUGAUGCCGAUCAGCACACGGAAAAUUUUAGUGACCAUGAGAAUCUUGGAAAUGCAGAUGAGCAGGGUUCUUCUUUUGAUAUAUAUGAUCCUAGAACUUGGAAUAUUCUUGACAAUAAAUCAAGAGAUAUUCUCAUUGAAAAAGGACCUAUAAGGGAAUACAAUCUUGUGUUUCCCGAAGAUGAAAUUAGUGGCAGGCAUUUUUCAUAUGAUUACUACACAAGAAAGUUAAGGAAUGGCGAGUUCAGUGAUCGGAGGUGGUUAGUGUACUCUAAACAUGUGAAUAAAGUCUACUGCUUUUGUUGCAAAUUGUUUAAAUAUGGAAAAAGCAAAAGUCUGCUAGCAUCCGAGGGAUUGAAGGAUUGGAGACAUCUUAGUGAGAAGCUCAAAUUGCAUGAGAAUAGUGUUGAGCAUAUCACUAACAUGAAUACUUGGAAUGAGGUAAGGCUGAGGCUAAGUAAGAAGGAAACAAUUGAUAAAGACAUGCAACAAGAGAUUGCAAGGGAGAAGGAGCGAUGGAGACUUGUUUUAAUUAGAAUUGUUGCUGCUGUGAAAUUUCUUGCUAAACAUAGUCUGGCUUUUUGA